rnacentral:snRNA from 1 species
UUAGUUACCUGGCAGUGGAGAGACCACGACCAGAAGGUGAUUCUCCCAGGGCAAAACACAUCAUGCGCUCAUAUUUGUGAUUUCCCCAGAUGCAGCAAACUCAGUCAUAUUUUUUGUGAUAGCGGGGUUCUGUGUUUGAGCUCUCCCUUG